UCAGGAUGAACGCUAGCGACAGGCUUAACACAUGCAAGUCGAGGGCAGCGCGGAGGUAGCAAUACCUUGGCGGCGACCGGCGCACUGGUGAGUAACACGUAUGCGACCUGCCCCGGACAGGGGGGAUAAACCCGGGAAACUGGGUCUAAUACCCCAUAUGUGCCUUGGAUGCAUGUCCUUGGCAUGAAAGAUCCGUCGGUCCGGGAUGGGCAUGCGGCGCAUUAGCUUGUUGGCGGGGUAACGGCCCACCAAGGCGACGAUGCGUAGGGGUUCUGAGAGGAAGGUCCCCCACACUGGUACUGAGACACGGACCAGACUCCUACGGGAGGCAGCAGUGAGGAAUAUUGGUCAAUGGGCGAUAGCCUGAACCAGCCAAGUCGCCGUGCGGGAUGAAGGCCCUCCGGGUCGUAAACCGCUUUAGCCGGGGAGUAACGUGUGGGACGCGUCCCGCAGUGAGAGUACCCGGAGAAUAAGCAUCGGCUAACUCCGUGCCAGCAGCCGC
rnacentral:rRNA from 1 species